AAAGAAGAAGUUUAAAAAAUAUUUGGCCUGCACCCAAAAGUAGAUAAUUUAUUUAUCCUUCUUUA
rnacentral:tRNA from 1 species